CAGUCCACAACACCAGCUUGUCACUCGUUAGCUUUCCCAACAUGUCGUCAGUUCUACCCUUCCUAUUUGAACCAGAUCUGAAAAGUGAAGAGCAGGACAGCACUGUCGGUCGUUCACAAGACGAGCUUCAGGGAAAAAUGCGUGCAGCAAAUACCUAAUAAGACAAAAGUUGGGCAAAACUGGUGAUGCGGGAGAGUCCUGUUGGGAACUCAGGUUGGGAGCGAGAGUGCAUGCUGUUGGGAUUCGGGAACUCCGGUUUUAUUAGCAGAUAUUCAAGGGUAUUGGCACAGUCUCUGAUGCAGAGGUUUGGUACAAGGCCUUUGUCUCAUGGGAGGAGAUCUCUACUGUCUGCUACGGUACAAGAUCAGGCAAGAUAUGACGAACACUCACAAAUGAACCACUUCGUUCAGGAGAUGUCAAUAGCACUGAACAUUAGUGGAAUGUAUGUUAACUAUUGAAUUUAGUACUGUGAUUGAUGAAACUGUAAGAUUGUAUAAAAUAUGCAAUGUGACAAAAUAUGUUAUUUUCAAAUAAAACAAAACUGUUGACAUAUCUUCAGUUUUAGCCUGUGUUCACUUUCAAAGCUUUAAAGUGCGAUUACAGCAUAUUAUCCUCAUAGGUCAUAAAGCAUACAUUUGGACCUAUGUGUUGAUUUUUUUUUAAAUUUAAAUUUGUAUUACUGAUUACUUAAAAGGGCUAUCAAUGACACAUGAUUUUGACUUUUAUAUGUCCGGGAAAAAUUUGGGAUUAAAUGGGUUAAGAGUAUAACUUUAACAAUUGUUGUGUUUGAAUUUUCUGGCCCCAGAAAAGGAUACACCGAAAACAUGCAAUGAUACAAUUCAAGAAUUGCUCUUGUAUUAUAACGACUUUGUUGCAAGUGAGUGAUGAUUUUCUCUUUUGCUAUAAAAGCUCGACUUGGCAUUUUUUUCCUAUUUGCUGCGAUUACAGCUGGUGCCUCGAAUUACAACUGUUAGGUUUUGUGUUGAUUCCCUCCUAGUGUGUCCUUGUAAUUGCCAUUGAUUUCACCUAGUGUACCGCUCCUUGUGUAUCCUCCAAUCUGCGUCCACCUGUGUCACCCAUCUGUUCCUCAUUGUCUCGUUACCCUUUGUCUGCGUGUGUAUAUAAGCUCCCAGUUUCUUUUCAGUCCUUGUUGCGUCAUCGUCUAUGUCUUUGUCAAAGUCAAGACCUGUCCAAGCCUUCGUGUACCAGUCCCUCCGUUUAAGUAAGUUUUGGUUUGAACAUUGCCAUUUUGAUCCCCAGUCCUUUUGGUUGUACUUUGUGCUUUUGGUUAGUUGUUAUUAAAACGUGUUUUGAGUUCAGCGCCACCUGCCUUGCUGCUUUUUGCUUACCUGCCAUUGGGUCCGCACCACCUGCCUUCCCGCGUUUCCCUGACAGAACUCAGAAAAACCAUUAACUCAAGCAUUGCUAACAUACGUGCCAAAACUUGCCAGCACUGGUAAAUGUGAGUGAUUUUUCUCUUUAGCUAUGAAAAUUUGACCUGGCAUUUUUUUCGGUGUAUUGUGUAAUGUAUUUAGAAAAACUUGGUUAAAUGUAAUGCUAACACACGAUGGAGUCCCCAAUAUUAACCACUUUUAUUAGAAUGUAUUAAGAAAAACUUUAAAUACAUCUGAAGUGUAUUUCUUGUUGUGUUUGCAGCUGUUGCCUCGAAUUACAACUGUUAGGUUUUGUGUUGAUUCCCUCCUAGUGUGUCCUUGUAAUUGCCAUUGAUUUCACCUAGUGUACCGCUCCUUGUGUAUCCUCCAAUCUGCGUCCACCUGUGUCACCCACCUGUUCCUCAUUGUCUCGUUACCCUUUGUCUGUGUGUGUGUACAUAAGCUCCCAGUUUCUUUUCAGUCCUUGUUGCGUCAUCGUCUAUGUCUGUGUCAAAGUCAAGACGUGUCCAAGCCCUCGUGUACCAGUCCUUCCGUUUAAGUAAGUUUUGGUUUGAACAUUGCCUUUUUGAUCCCCGGUCCUUUUGGUUAGUUGUUAUUAAAACGUGUUUUGAGUUCAGCGCCACCUGCCUUGCUGCUUUUUGUUUCCCUGCCAUUGGGUCCACACCACCUGCCUUCCUGCGUUUCCCUGACAGAACUCAGAAAAACCAUAAACUCAAGCAUUGCUAACAUACUUGCCAAAUCUUGCCAGCACUGGUACAUUUGGUUUAAAAGCAUUGUCGGAAGCACUCGUUGACGCAUAUAAAGAGGUGGAUUCAUCGAGAAAAAAAAAAUUCUUGAAAGUCUAGCGAUCGUCUCGAAACAGAUGGAAGUUCUUAAAAAACAAGAUGGAGUCCCCGAUAUCAACCAUAUUUCAAAUGUAUUAAAAAACUUGGUGACAUGUAUCUUAAAAAUAUAACUGUAACUAGGGGUGUACGAUAUCCAUUUUUUGAGACCGAUACCGAUAACUUACUGCUUCUCAAGGUCGAUACCGAUAUGAUAACCGAUAACAAAGAUAUAAUUUUUAAAUGCAUAUUCACCUGAGCUUUUGAACACCUGUAGGUCAAAAAUACUCGUGGUGGAUUCAGCAAAGAUUUGCCUUUGACCUAACCAAAUUUUUCAUGAUCACAUGAACAUUAUUAUAAUGAACUAAAAAAAGACAAGAACAGUUUUGACUUCAAAUAAAGUGCCCCUACAGUGCCCUCCUAUCUUUGAGAAAUGGCUUUCUUCUUGCCACUCUUCCAUAAAGGCCAGAUUUGUGCAGUGUACGACUGAUUGUUGUCGUAUGGACAGACUCUCCCACCUCAGCUGUAGAUCGCUGCAGUUCAUCCAGAGUGAUCAUGGGCCUCUUGGCUGCAUCUCUGAUCAGUUUUUUCCUUGUUUGAGAAGAAAGUUUGGAAGGACGGCCGGGUCUUGGUAGAUUUGCAGUGGUCUGAUGCUCCUUCCAUUUCAAUAUGAUGGCUUGCACAGAGCUCCUUGAGAUGUUUAAAGCUUGGGAAAUCUUUUUUGUAUCCAAAUCCGGCUUUAAACUUCUCCACAACAGUAUCUCGGACCUGCCUUCCUUGGUUUUCAUAAUACUCUCUGCACUUUAAACAGAACCCUGAGACUAUCACAGAGCAGGUGCAUUUAUACGGAGACUUGAUUACACACAUUUGGAUUCUAUUUAUCAUCAUUGGUCAUUUAGGACAACAUUCAGAGAUCCUCACUGAACUUCUGGAGUGAGUUUGCUGCACUGAAAGUAAAGGGGCCGAAUAAUAUUGCACGCCCCACUUUUCAGUUUUUUAUUUGUAAAAGUUUAAAUUAUCCAAUAAGUGUUGUUCCACUUCACGAUUGUGUCCCACUUGUUGUUGAUUCUUGACAAAAAAAUUAAAUUUCAUAUCUUUAUGUUUGAAGCCUGAAAUGUGGCGAAAGGUUGCAAGAUUCAAGGGGGCCGCAUACUUUUGCAAGGCACUGUAUAUAUAUUAUACUCUUGUACUCUUAUGCACUGUGUUUAAUUUGAGAUGUCUCUGGUUGCACUAUGAAAUGCACUUUUCCGCGUGUGAGGUGUGUCCAUGUUACUUUGUCACCUUUUUCACCCCUAACCAGUUUGCAAUGUUUUGCAACAAUUGUUUGAAUUUUUUAGCCCCAGAAAAGGAUACAUCAAAAACAUGCAAUGAUGUAGUGUAAGAGUGUGACAAUAUCUCGAUACAACGAUAUAUCGCGAUAUUUUGCAACCCGAUUGUUUAUCGAUAUGCUCCCGCCAAGUAUCGAUACUUUUAUUUAACAUAUUGGCCAUACAAUGGAGUAUGGAUGCUGUAAACUCCUCAGUGUUUGUUGAGCAAUUCCUUGGCGGUCCACUAGGGGCGCUCGGGAGUGGUGAUGAAGGUAAAGUACACACAAGUCGUCUAGAGAAGAAGAGAGAAGGCUCCAAGUGGGUUGAAAAAAUAAAAAAGCUUCGUGAGAAUGGUGGAGGAAAAAAUGAGAAAAUAUUGCUACAAAUCAUACACGGGGACACACUUCAGAUUUUACACCAACCAGAAAGGAAGUAAGGUGAACAAGGACUUUGCUGUAUGCAAGAACUGUCUAACAAAAAUAAGGUCCACUGGGAGCUGGUGACGAGUUGCACACCGGAUUUCCCCAAGAGAGUCCGGCUGCAGCCUCUCGAUUUCUUCACUGCUUUGCUUUCAUCACUUGAGGUGAGGAAGAAUGUGACUGACCAAGUCUGACAUCUCAAAUGCUGAAACAGAUAGUGGAAAUGCUCAAACCAACGCUUUUGGCUACAAAGAUGCUGGCUCGGAUUACAACGAACCAAAAAUAUUUAUCCAAGCAUUGCUAAAAUACUUGCCAGAACUUAUCAGCACUGGUACAUUUGAUCUGAAAACGUGGUCGGAAGCACUCACCAGGGCAUAUGAAGAGAUUGAUUCAUCGAAAAUAAUAUUUCAGGAGGUUCUACAGCUUACCCGGAAACAGGUGGACGUUCUUAAAAAGAUGAAGAUUCAGAGAGAAAUCGAGAGUAUCCAGACUUCCUUGAUCAUUAUUGCCGUUGGGAUGCUCUUGAUCCUUCUACCAUUUCUAGUGAAAGCAAUCUUGAUGUGCUACUUAAGAGGUGGAUUCAUCGAAAAAAAAAAUUCUUGAAAGUCUAGCGAUUGUCUCGAAACAGAUAGAAGUCCAUAAAACUGCUGCCUCGGAUUACUACCCACAAAAAUCAUUUACCAAACUAUUACGAGAAUACCUUUCAGAACUUGUCAGCACUGGUACAUAGGUGGAUUCGUCGAAAAAAAAAAUUCUUGAAAGUCAAGCGAUCGUCUCGAAACAGAUAGAAGUCCUUAAAAGUGAGUGAUGAUAAAAAAAUUCUUGAAAGUCUAGCGAUCGUCUCGAAACAGAAGUCCUUAAAACUGCUGGCUCGGAUUACAACCAACCAAAAAUAUUUAUCCAAGCAUUGCUAAAAUACUUGCCAGAACUUAUCAGCGCUGGUACAUAAUUUUUUAGACCCAGAAAAGGAUACAUCAAAAACAUGCAAUGAUGUAGUGCAAGAAUUGCUCUUGUAUUAUGACAACUUUGUGACAAAUGCAUCCUUGAAAUACAACGCACAAAUGCCAACAAUUGAAGAAGUGCUAACAUACUUGCCAGAACUUGUCAGCACUGGUACAUAUGAUUAUUCAUCGAGACCACCAGUUGAUUUGAAAACAUGGUCGGAAGCACUCACCAGGGCAUAUGAAGAGGUGGAUUCAUCAAAAAAAAAAAUUCUUGAAAGUCUAGCGAUCGUCUCGAAACGGAUAGAAGUCCUUAAAAGUGAGUGAUGAUAAAAAAAUUCUUGAAAGUCUAGCGAUCGUCUCGAAACAGAUAGAAGUCCUUAAAAAUGCAUCCUUGAAAUACAACGCACAAAUGCCAACAAUUGAAGAAGUGCUAACAUACUUGCCAGAACUUGUCAGCACUGGUACAUAUGAUUAUUCACCGAAACCACCAGUUGAUUUGAAAACAUGGUCGGAAGCACUCACCAGGGCAUAUGAAGAGGUGGAUUCAUCGAAAAAAAAAAAAUUCUUGAAAGUCUAGCGAUCGUCUCGAAACAGAUAGAAGUCCUUAAAAGUGAGUGAUGAUAAAAAAAUUCUUGAAAGUCCAGCGAUCGUCUCGAAACAGAUAGAAGUCCUUAAAAAUGCAUCCUUGAAAUACAACGCACAAAUGCCAACAAUUGAAGAAGUGCUAACAUACUUGCCAGAACUUGUCAGCACUGGUACAUUUGAUUUGAAAACAUGGUCGGAAGCACUCACCAGGGCAUAUGAAGAGGUGGAUUCAUCGAAAAAAAAAAUUCUUGAAAGUCUAGCGAUCGUCUCGAAACGGAUAGAAGUCCUUAAAACCGCAUACUCGGAUUACAACCAAUCACAAACAUUUAUCCAAGCAUUGCUAGAACACUUGCCAGAAUUUAUCAGCGCUGGUAUAAAUGAUUAUUCACCGAAACCACCAGUUGAUUUGAAAACAUGGUCGGAAGCACUCACCAGGGCAUAUGAAGAGAUGAAGAUUCAGAGAGAAAUCGAGAGUAUCCAGACUUCCUUGAUCAUUAUUGCCGUUGGGAUGCUCUUGAUCCUUCUAAUGGAGAAGAUUCAUAGAGCCAUCGACAGUAUACAGACUUCAGUGAUAAAUACUGGCCUUUGGAUUCUCGUGAUCCUUCUACUAUUUCUAGUGAGAGCAAUCUUAAUGUGCUACUUAAGAGAUGAAGAAGAUUCAGAGAGACGCCGACAGUAUACAGACUACUGUGAUAAUUACUGUCAUUUGGAUUUUCUUGAUCCUUCUACAAUUUAUAGUGAGAGCAAACUUUAGGUGCUACUUAAGAACGCUGAUACGACGCAUCAUCCCGCCAGGCCCCCGUCCGAGUUGAUGUUUGCACCCAAUUCGACUACGUUGACUGGAGAGAGUGGAAUCGUUUGAGACGUUAUUUUUAAGUGGUUAUUAUCUGGGUCUUUGCCUUGCUAGGUACCCAGGAAGACAUACAGUUGAAUGGAAUUCAAGGGAGAGAAGUUAAGGAUUGGAAAAAGUCCCAUCAUCUACUCAGUUUAUCCAAGCAGUGACAGACAACAUGAAAGAAAGACUAUUCACAACCACAGCAAACAGAGCUCAGGCAAGUGUCACAUCUUGCAUGACUCGCCGUCAGUCAGAAGAAGAGAAUGACUACUUUAGACCUCUAUUGAUGUUUGCACCCAAUCGACUAUGUUGACUGGAGAGAGUGGAGUCGAUUGAGACGUGAUUUGUAAAUGGUUGUUAUCUUUGCCUUGACAGAUGUUAAGAUGGCCGCCUUUGUGCCAGUAUUGUUUAAAGAGAAACAAGUCACUUUGGAAUAUUGUGUGCAUUUGUUGUGAUCUAGUGGAAUUCUUUUGUUCCUAGACAAAUUCCUGUCUUUGUCAAUUUUUCCACCGUGACCUCUAUAAAUCACAGAUUGUUGUAUAAACUUGGUGAAAUGGCAUGCAAGAUAAUAAAAAAAAAUUGAAAAAAAAAAUCUUGGCCACUUUAUAACAACUUGGGUUGUUGUUCUGAUCUGCUAUGAGAAUUAAAGCAUUUGGUCCACAAUUUUUUUUUUAAGUCCCAUAAUCAAAAAGAAAUGAAUGCAAAAACGCAUUUAAAAGAAAAAAAGGAAACUAACGGAAGGAUAUGGAAUGCACCAUAACCCUUACUCUUGGAGUGUUAAUCUCUAGCUAGAGUAAAGGAGCAUGUGGGUCAGGGUUAACCCUUAUAAACCUCACAAGUG